CAGAAAGGGGAGCAAAGGGCUUUAACCUGGGAGCCGUGAUCUCUUGUGAUUUCUGCAGGGUAUAUCGAUUUGAAGUUUCCCAAUCGCCGAGCUCGUUUCAUCAGUGCUGCCAUUUCCCGUAACCGUCACCCCCCGCCACGUCCCACGGGGACAAUCCGGGCUGGGGGUGGAUCUGGGGGCCGAGGAGCGAGCUCUGGCUGACAGUGGGCAGAAUUUGGGCAGUUUGGACAGGUGAAACUUGUGUUUAGCAGUGCAGACACGGCUGGGGGAUGCCCUGGGGUGGGUUUGAGGGGGCACCCCAGGCUCCAUCAGUGCCCCCUGAGCUGAACCAUCGUACAGGGCUCGGGUGCGACUUCAUUCAGCUCUCGUGUUUGCAAUUAAAAAACUCCUUUAAAUCCUCAUCUCACAACCUGAGGAGGGUUUAGUGGCCUGAAUUCUGCCUGUCCCCAGUGCCUGGGGCUGAGGGGAUCACUGCUGGGGGAGCCUCGUGGUCCGUGCCCAGGGCUGAGGGUGGCACCGCUCCCUGUCCCUGUCCCUGUCCCUGUCCCUGUCCCUGUCCCUGCCAGGCUUCAUUCCUGCACCUCGGGACACGCCUGGGAAAGGACCUUAAAGCUUUAAACCUUAAAACUUGUGGAAGCCCUUCAGGGAGCUGGGAGGCUGCUGCAGCUGCGAGGAACCCACACACAGAUGGGUGGAACAUCGGUCUGGAGCUCAGGGUGGAGGGGCCAUCAGCAAUCCCCGGCCUAGCACUGAAAACUUCAGCGUCAUUUACCAAAAUUUGGGAAGGGAAUUGUUAAUCUACGAGCUGUAGAAACACAGGAGUGAGUUUCACAGGUGUUCAUUCAUCCCACUGGAUGUUAAUUCAGCUCAGGUGCGAGGGUGACUCAGGGACUUUUCUAACGAUUUCUUUUCAGUCUAAAGUGGUUCUUUCUGUGGGGUGAGGACUCCAGAACCGGCUCUGCUGAGCUGGAAAAGCUUCCCUCUUGCACUGGAUAUGAAAUUUACUGGCUAGCAACAGUUCUGGAGUUCCUGCAGCUGCUCUCCUGGACUUGGCCAGAGAAACUUUACAUUGACAACUGAAUUUGUUAUUUAGAAGACCUGGAGGUCCAGAAAUGGAACAGAGACUGCUCCUCCUCCUGGACUGGUACAAGCAGGGAGGGGUUUGCUGUAAAUACACAGCACUUGUGGCUGGUUAUAGUGCUGGAGUUGCCUCUCUGGAUGUGUGCUGAGCUCUGGCUGCAGGGACUGUCAGGCCUGGGUGGGGAAUGGGAGGUGAUGAGGAGCAGAGAGGAUGCACAUCAUGGGGAACAGUUUGAGGUGAUCUCUGUGGCAGAGAACGAAUAUUUGGAGACAAAAAUGAGGGAAGAGACCGAGAAGUCAAACCCCUGCUGUGUGUGAAGAUUCCUGAGUGAUGCUGGUGCAGCUGAAUUUGUUAUUUAGAAGACCUGGAGGUCCAGAAAUGGAACAGAGACUGCUCCUCCUCCUGGACUGAGACAAGCAGGGAGGGGUUUGCUGUAAAUACACAGCACUUAUGGCUGGUUAUUAUUGAUAAUAAAGAUACAGUUCUUUAGUUUUUAGCUCACUAGUAAGAAAUCCUAAUAUUAUCAUCCCUCUUUUGUCUGCAUCAACCUCUCAACCUACAGCAGCUGUGCAGGGGGUAGAAGAAAUCUGGCGCAGAGUAAACCCAUGACAGCAAGUCCUGCUUUGCUUGGAAGGGCUUGAAAUGACUUUAAACCAGAAUAAAUCACUUUACUGUUCUCUUUUCCUUUCAGGUGCUGGAGUUGCCUCUCUGGAUGUGUGCUGAGCUCUGGCUGCAGGGACUGUCAGGCCUUGGUGGCGACGAGCCUUGCCUAAGAGACAAAUCCAUCUCGUGCCCGCUGGAAGUGCUGGCCCGGAGCUGCUCCAUCCCUGCUGCCCCGAGCUGAGCGGGAGUCCCGCGGCUGCGGGUGGGAUUCCCCAGCUCUGGACGAUCCGGAGCGCCGUGAGC